rnacentral:lncRNA from 1 species
AUGCCACGCUUGCCGCGUGGUCUCUCAAUUCAAACAUUUCUCGGUGGGGUUAGCUUUUUUGUGAUCACGUUUAAAUGUCUAUUGGCGGGGACCAUUAACAAUACCGAAUCAAGAAGAUCCUCUCCUCAUUCAUCAGCCGAGCACGGGACAAUCUUACGCAAUUUUGACAGCUCUGAUGUACACUCUGGUUACACGGAUGUUCCUCAGGUAUUUCGACAUCAUAAUGACAAGAAGUGGGGGCAACCGAGAGCAAAAAAGGCUGGAAUCGUCAAAGAACUCGUCCAGGAGAAAAAUAAAUGUAAAAAAUUCAGCACAGCUGAACCUGGGACAAACUUACGAAAUUUUGACGGCUCUAAUGUGCACUCUGGUGACACGAGUGUUCCUCAGGUAUUUCGACAUCGUAAUGAUAAGAAGUGGGGGCACUCAAGAGCGAAAAAAGCUAGAAUCGUCAAAAGGAAGCUCGUCCAGAAGAAAAAUAAAUUUGAAAAAUUCAGCACCGUAAACCCUUCAACUCUCAACAGUGCAACUUUAGAAAAUCUCAGUCUAGAGAAGGCAAAGAAUGUUCAUGCAACAACUUCGUUCGAGAAUUUCAACAAUAAGAAAUGUGUCAAUCGGAACUUGUCGGAGUCCGAGCAAAUUUACCAUAGACUAAGGAGUUAUAAAAUUAUUCCUGACGUGCUGCGUCCAAAGUUUACUACGAUGCCUUUAAGACAUUUACAGGUUACAUAUGGCAUAAAUGUUGUGAAGUAUGGGACCGAGCUGUAUUCUUUACAGAUAGAGAAUGAACCUACAGUCAUGUUUGAGGGAGAAGAAAAUACUUAUUACUCAUUAAUUGCUAUUGGUAAGAGACUAUGAAACACUUUAGAGAAUCAUUCCAUCCAAUGAAAAACUCUUGUCGUGAUUUUAAAAAUUAGAAGACACUCGUCUAAUGUGGCAAUUAUUGCGACCAAGCAAAAAUAAAAACUCAAAAUAAAAUCCUCUUCACGGCACACUCAAGAAUGUUUUUUCCUGAAUCAAAAACACUUUCAAGUCUCUUUUCUUCUCUAAUGAAAUUUAAAAUUAUGCUAAUCGCUAUCAAAUACGGAUACUAGGAUUUGAGAUUUUUUUGAAGUACCGCUCUCUUUUUGUGCCGUCGUAUCUUCAUUUAUUUUGCAAUUAGAGCUAGUACUCUUAAAGGAUGCCUGUCAGACUUGAUGCGUUGGAGCGCCUUCAAUUACGUAUGAUACUGUGCAACACCUCUGUUGCGAAAUAGUUGCUUGAAGCGCCGUGGCACUCCGCAGCGCGGCGUGCAACCAGCGGAACACGCGCAUAAGCGCCUACAAACCUAACAGGGAUACUUCACGCAUUGCGCAAUGCGUGAAGUAUCCCUGUUAGGUUUGUAGGCGCGUACAUAUGGCAUAAAUGUUGUGAAGUAUGGGACCGAGCUGUAUUCUUUACAGAUAGAAAAUGAACCUACAGUCAUGUUUGAGGGAGAAGAAAAUACUUAUUACUCAUUAAAAGCUAUCGGUAAGAGACUAUGAAAAACUUCAGAGAAUCAUUCCUUCCAAUGAAAAACUCUUGUCGUGAUUUUAAAAAUUAGAAGACCCUCGUCUCAUGUGGCAAUUAUUGCGACCAAGCAAAAAUAAAAACGAAGAUUUACGGCUCAGCAUAUUGUUAGGGAUAACUCAGGCAAGAGGUGAAAUUUACGGAAGGCAUUUCUGCGAAUGUAACGCAUAAGGGCAAAAUGAAUCUUAUCGUGGUGGAGGGGGAGGGGGGGGGGGGAAUUUUUCAGCAGGGACAGCUCAGAGGGGUCAAUCGAGCAUCAUUUGUUGCACACACUGGUGCAAGAAAACUGAAACUUAGCUCCAUAGGCAGCGAUUCAAAGCCCGAGAACAAAGAACGAGGAAAACCUCUGUUAAAGCCGGCGCUAUCACCAAUUUUGAGGCGGAUUUAAUUAAAACGAUUAUAUCAUCAUUAAAUCACAAUGCAAAUAAUGGAUUGAAAUUUUGAUCUGACAUCCGUGAGAUGUAUCCUAAUUUGGAAUGAGAUGAAGCAUAUACUUGCACUGACCACUGUGGGAGUCCGUUGAUCUGUUUAGGUCCAGAUAUGCCGUCCUACAGAGACUACGAUGAGCGCAAUUGGUUGCAUUGGUGCGUCGGAAACAUACCCGGGGAGAUGUCUCCCGCGGCGGCCGAGUAGUAACCCCAUACAUUGGCCUUGCUCUCGGUUAUCAACUAGGCAAGUAUGGUUAGAUAUUUAGGCUUUAAAUAUUUUUAAGGUGGUUUUGGAUUGUGGGAUUACGAGAUACCAAAUAACUUUAUUUUUAUCAAGAACUUCUAAAGUUAUGAACACGACAAGGAUACGUAUGAUUCUGAUAAAAUUAAAGCAUGUAAUAGAGAAAAAGUGAUUUAAAACGACUGAAAUCACACGUGAGGCGGAUGGAUAGUUUUUUCUCCUCUAUGAUGAGUGAGAAGGAAACAGUUCAGUGAAUUUAUUAUUUGUCUAUCUCGAUUAGAUCUUCUUACAGCUCUCUCCAGAUAGGUCUGAUUUUCUGAAAAAAGCACGGGGUGCACAAAUUGUGUGAAAAGGAAUAUAUUUUCCUUAAGAGUUAC